AGUGAACGCUGGCGGUAGGCCUAACACAUGCAAGUCGAACGGCAGCACAAUAAGAGCUUGCUCUUACGGGUGGCGAGUGGCGGACGGGUGAGGAAUACAUCGGAAUCUACUUUUUCGGGGGGGAUAACGUAGGGAAACUUACGCUUAUACAGCAUACGACCUACGGGAGAAAGCAGGGGAUCUUCGGACCUUGCGCGAUUGAAUGAGCCGAGGUCGGGUUAGUUAGUGGGCGGGGUAAAGGCCCACCAAGGGGACGAUCCGUAGCUGGUCUGAGAGGAUGAUCAGCCACACUGGAACGGGGACACGGUCCAGACUCCUACGGGAGGCAGCAGUGGGGAAUAUUGGAAAAUGGGCGCAAGCCUGAUCCAGCCAUACCGCGUGGGUGAAGAAGGCCUUCGGGUUGUAAAGCCCUUUUGUUGGGAAAGAAGAGCAGCAGGUUAAUACCCUGCUGUUCUGACGGUACCCAAAGAAUAAGCACCGGCUAACUUCGUG
rnacentral:rRNA from 1 species